rnacentral:tRNA from 1 species
AUUUAUCUAGUAUAUACGUAUAGUUGACUUCCAAUCAAAAGGACUGAAUAUCAUUCAGGAUAAAUA